UUGGAAGCUGGAAAGUCUUCUCUCCCAUCUUUCCCAGGUUCCCUGAAUGCAGCAUCAGUGUUGCAGGUUCACAACUGGAAUGUGAAAACUGAUGCACACCACAAGAGGGAGCCUUCAUCCUGCUAACAGGGAUGAAGAGGAGGAUGUGUGGGGACCUGUUGCUGCAGACGUUACUGAAGAGAAUGAAAAUCUCUGUCAGACUGAAGAGAAACUUUC